CGGGGGGCAGCAGUGGGGAAUUUUGGACAAUGGGCGAAAGCCUGAUCCAGCAAUGCCGCGUGAGUGAAGAAGGCCUUCGGGUUGUAAAGCUCUUUUGUCAGGGAAGAAACGGCGUGUUCUAAUACGAUGCGCUAAUGACGGUACCUGAAGAAUAAGCACCGGCUAACUACGUGCCAGCAGCCGCGGUAAUACGUAGGGUGCAAGCGUUAAUCGGAAUUACUGGGCGUAAAGCGUGCGCAGGCGGUUAUAUAAGUCAGAUGUGAAAUCCCUGGGCUCAACCUAGGAACUGCAUUUGAGACUGUAUGGCUAGAGUGUGUCAGAGGGGGGUAGAAUUCCACGUGUAGCAGUGAAAUGCGUAGAUAUGUGGAGGAAUACCGAUGGCGAAGGCAGCCCCCUGGGAUAACACUGACGCUCAUGCACGAAAGCGUGGGGAGCAAACAGGAUUAGAUACCCCGGU
rnacentral:rRNA from 1 species